GACGAACGCUGGCGGCGUGCCUAAUACAUGCAAGUCGAACGAACCGCGACUAGGUGCUUGCACUUGGUCAAGGUGAGUGGCGAACGGGUGAGUAACACGUGGGUAACCUACCUCAUAGUGGGGGAUAACAGUCGGAAACGACUGCUAAUACCGCAUAGGACAUAGGAUCACAUGAUCCAGUGAGGAAAGGUGGCGCAAGCUAUCGCUAAGAGAUGGACCCGCGGUGCAUUAGCUAGUUGGUAGGGUAAAGGCCUACCAAGGCGAUGAUGCAUAGCCGACCUGAGAGGGUGAUCGGCCACAUUGGGACUGAGACACGGCCCAAACUCCUACGGGAGGCAGCAGUAGGGAAUCUUCCGCAAUGGACGCAAGUCUGACGGAGCAACGCCGCGUGAGUGAAGAAGGUCUUCGGAUCGUAAAGCUCUGUUGUUAGAGAAGAACAGCGCAUAGAGUAACUGUUAUGCGUGUGGCGGUAUCUAACCAGAAAGCCACGGCUAACUACGUG
rnacentral:rRNA from 1 species